CUAUUUGUGGUCUAAAGAGGACCCCUGGACUGGAGCCAAUGUAUUUUUGAAGAAGUUUCCACUUGAUCCAGAUCGGUGUCGUUCUUGGGUCAAAGCAGUUGGGAAUGAAGACUGCUUACAUACCCGU